CCGAGUUUACAACUCCCAAACCCAUGUGAACAUACCUACUGUUGCUUCGGCGGGAUUGCCCCGGGCGCCUCGUGUGCCCCGGAUCAGGCGCCCGCCUAGGAAACUUAAUUCUUGUUUUAUUUUGGAAUCUUCUGAGUAGUUUUUACAAAUAAAUAA
rnacentral:misc_RNA from 1 species